rnacentral:lncRNA from 1 species
CGUAGGUGGCGGGCAGCGGGGGACGGGACCGGCCGCGGGGCUUCGCUGCGGCAGCGCCGGCUUUCCCCCGGCCGCCGCUUUCAUUCAUGCUUUCACCUUCGCCAUCUCCCUCUCUCCGAGCGAGGGGAAACAGGAGUGCGCGUGGGCGGCCGCCGAGCGGCUCGCUGUCAGUCAGCCGCCGCGCUGCAAAGAAGGCGAGCGAGGGAGAAGGAGGGGACCAGCUUUCCCCGGGAAGGGGGCGGCUGUCGUCGCCGCCUCUGCCUGCCGGCCCCGCGGCUCUUCCCGGGGGGCGUCUGCAGAGCCGGGAGCGGGGAGCGGAUCCCGCGCCGCAGAGCCACCCGGGUAGGGGAGCGGCGGGCGGCUCCUCGCCCGCGAUCGGCACCUGCCCCCCCCUUUCCCCCCCCCGCUCCUGUCUGGCGGAGGGGUCCGCGCCGCCGGCGGCGCGCGCGUGUGUACGUGUGUCUGCCGGGGGCCGCGGGGGCGCUCCGCAGCCGCCGUGCGAGGGGGCGCUGCUGCCAGGAGAGGCGCGAGGCGAGUUGUGACGGCUGCAACGGCCGUAGCGGCUCCGGGCGGGCGCUGAGGAGUGGGCGCGGUGCGCUGCGGGGCCGGGGUGCGCCGCGUGUCGAGGGCCGCCGAACCCGCCCAGCUGCAGCGAGCGGCUCUGCCUUUGUGCUUCCUCCGCACCUGAGGUGCGAGGCCGGGAGGGGCGGCGGAGCCUGGAGCCGGGGAGGGGAGGUAAGGCUGCGCCGCGCCGCGGCGGGCCGGGCGGCGGUGCCUGGAGCCGCGCUUCUCGUCUCGUCCUGCCUCACGGGCGGAGGUGCGGCAGCCCGGCCCCCCGGGAAGGACGGGACGAGGAGAGGUGCAGCCUCACCGCAGCCGGAGGGUGGGCGGGGGGCCGCGGGCGGGGCUCGCAGCGCGCCUUCCUCUGGGCUCGCUCGGGAAGGAGCGGGCAGUUCGCGGAGGCUGCUCUCGAAGCGGGCGCAGCCGCUAGUUCGCCACGGCCCGAUGUCAGCAACAGCUGCGCGGGGCUCUCCUGAACGCCGCCGCCCGUGA